rnacentral:rRNA from 1 species
CCCGCUGAACUUAAGCAUAUCAAUAAGCGGAGGAAAAGAAACUAACAAGGAUUCCCCUAGUAACUGCGAGUGAAGCGGGAAAAGCUCAAAUUUAAAAUCUGGCAUGCCUCUGGCUGUCCGAGUUGUAGUCUGGAGAAGCGUUUUCCGUGUCGGACCGUGUAUAAGUCUCUUGGAACAGGGCGUCAUAGAGGGUGAGAAUCCCGUCUUUGACACGGACUGCCGAUGCUUUACGAUGCGCUCUCAAAGAGUCGAGUUGUUUGGGAAUGCAGCUCAAAAUGGGUGGUAAAUUCCAUCUAAAGCUAAAUAUAGGCGAGAGACCGAUAGCGAACAAGUACCGUGAGGGAAAGAUGAAAAGCACUUUGGAAAGAGAGUUAAACAGUACGUGAAAUUGCUGAAAGGGAAACGCUUGAAGUCAGUCACGUCUGCCAGGACUCAGCCUUGCUUCUGCUUGGUGCACUUUCUGGUUUGACGGGCCAACAUCAAUUUUGACCGUUGGAGAAAGGCUUUGGGAAUGUGGCACCUUCGGGUGUGUUAUAGCCCAUUGUUGUAUACAACGGUUGGGAUUGAGGACCGCAGCACGCCUUCAUGGCCGGGGUUCGCCCACGUACGUGCUUAGGAUGUUGGCAUAAUGGCUUUAAGCGACCCGUCUUGAAACACGG